rnacentral:rRNA from 1 species
GACGAACGCUGGCGGCGUGCCUAAUACGUGCAAGUAGAACGCUGAAGGAGGAGCUUGCUUCUCUGGAUGAGUUGCGAACGGGUGAGUAACGCGUAGGUAACCUGCCUGGUAGCGGGGGAUAACUAUUGGAAACGAUAGCUAAUACCGCAUAAGAGUAGAUGUUGCAUGACAUUUGCUUAAAAGGUGCAAUUGCAUCACUACCAGAUGGACCUGCGUUGUAUUAGCUAGUUGGUGGGGUAACGGCUCACCAAGGCGACGAUACAUAGCCGACCUGAGAGGGUGAUCGGCCACACUGGGACUGAGACACGGCCCAGACUCCUACGGGAGGCAGCAGUAGGGAAUCUUCGGCAAUGGACGGAAGUCUGACCGAGCAACGCCGCGUGAGUGAAGAAGGUUUUCGGAUCGUAAAGCUCUGUUGUAAGAGAAGAACGAGUGUGAGAGUGGAAAGUUCACACUGUGACGGUAUCUUACCAGAAAGGGACGGCUAACUACGUGCCAGCAGCCGCGGUAAUACGUAGGUCCCGAGCGUUGUCCGGAUUUAUUGGGCGUAAAGCGAGCGCAGGCGGUUAGAUAAGUCUGAAGUUAAAGGCUGUGGCUUAACCAUAGUACGCUUUGGAAACUGUUUAACUUGAGUGCAAGAGGGGAGAGUGGAAUUCCAUGUGUAGCGGUGAAAUGCGUAGAUAUAUGGAGGAACACCGGUGGCGAAAGCGGCUCUCUGGCUUGUAACUGACGCUGAGGCUCGAAAGCGUGGGGAGCAAACAGG